rnacentral:sRNA from 1 species
GCUGGGUGUGGUAGUGCACACCUGUAAUCCCAGCUACUAGGGAGGCUGAAGCAGAAAGAUUGCAAAUUUGAGGACAGCCUGGGCAAUCAAGUGAGAGCCUGUCUUUAAGUAAAUAGAUAAAAAGUAUGAGGGUAUAGCUCCGUGAGUACAAUCCCCAAUACCAAGAAAAGAAAUGGGCUCCUGGUAUUCUAUCAGUACUGACUCUGCACUUUUUGGAUUUUU